rnacentral:rRNA from 1 species
CCUACGGGAGGCAGCAGUGGGGAAUUUUGGACAAUGGGCGCAAGCCUGAUCCAGCAAUGCCGCGUGCAGGAUGAAGGCCUUCGGGUUGUAAACUGCUUUUGUACGGAACGAAACGGUGAGCUCUAAUACAGUUUGCUAAUGACGGUACCGUAAGAAUAAGCACCGGCUAACUACGUGCCAGCAGCCGCGGUAAUACGUAGGGUGCGAGCGUUAAUCGGAAUUACUGGGCGUAAAGCGUGCGCAGGCGGUGAUGUAAGACAGAUGUGAAAUGCCCGGGCUCAACCUGGGACCUGCAUUUGUGACUGCAUCGCUAGAGUACGGUAGAGGGGGAUGGAAUUCCGCGUGUAGCAGUGAAAUGCGUAGAUAUGCGGAGGAACACCGAUGGCGAAGGCAAUCCCCUGGACCUGUACUGACGCUCAUGCACGAAGACGGUGGGAGGACAACAGGAUAGUAUACCUCGUAGUCCACCGACCCUAACCGAUGUCACUGGUUGGUUGGGUUCGUUCUACUGAC